rnacentral:rRNA from 1 species
UGGGGAAUAUUGGACAAUGGGGGCAACCCUGAUCCAGCAAUGCCGCGUGUGUGAAGAAGGCCUGAGGGUUGUAAAGCACUUUCAGUGGGGAGGAGGAAUGCUAGGUUAAGAGCUAGGUAUUUGGACGUUACCCACAGAAGAAGCACCGGCUAACUCCGUGCCAGCAGCCGCGGUAAUACGGAGGGUGCGAGCGUUAAUCGGAAUUACUGGGCGUAAAGGGUGCGUAGGUGGUUUAUUAAGUUAUCUGUGAAAUCCCUGGGCUCAACCUGGGCAGGUCAGAUAAGACUGGUAAACUCGAGUAUGGGAGAGGGUAGUGGAAUUUCCGGUGUAGCGGUGAAAUGCGUAGAUAUUCGCAGGAACACCAGUGGCGAAGGCGACUUGCUGGGCUUGUAGUGACGCUGAGACGCGAAAGCGUGGGGAGCAAACAGGAUUAGAUACCCCGGUAGUCCCUGAGCGGGCUGGCAAGGCGCAU